rnacentral:lncRNA from 1 species
AGCCCGACCGCUUAAGAAAUACUCAGUUACAAACAAGCGCUGGCCUGGAGGAAGUGAAGAAGAAGCCAGCUUACAAAUUGCAGCUCAUUAUUUGCUUAUACAGAACCCCGUGUAAUGACUCAUAAAAGCAUAAGCAAAGAUUUACCUGGUCAGAUUCAAGCCCAGGAAUGUUAAGAACUGUUCCAAGGGUAUCUGCCAGAGACACUCAAUGAUCAGGCAAAGUCCCACUGCCCUGAAGUACCCAGGAAUCAACAUCCUUUCCCUUCCAGCAGCUCGCAGUGGGGUCUAACUGUUGUGGACCACGGACUCUCAAAGAACAAGUUCCAUACUGCUACGCCCAGAGCACAGAAGUAAGCAUCCAUCCAAAGCCCGCAGAACUUGGAGGACCCCUGCUUUCCCACGGAAGGCCCUUGGACAACCAGUUAGGCGGUCACAGGUCAGCGGCCUUGCUUUCUUCU